rnacentral:rRNA from 1 species
GAGGAAGGAGAAGCACGAACAAGGUUUCCGUAGGUGAACCUGCGGAAGGAUCAUUG